rfam:Gorilla gorilla gorilla genomic chromosome, chr14, whole genome shotgun sequence
GCCGGGUGUGCUGGCUCACACCUGUAAUCCCAGCACUUUGGGAGGCUGAGGCGGGAGGAUCACUUGGGGUCAGGAGUUUGAGACCACCUGGCCUACAUGGUGAAACCCCGUCUCUA